AUAUAGGUCAAGCUACAAAGGGCGCAUGGUGAAUGCCUUGGCAUCAGGAGCCGAUGAAGGACGUGAUAAGCUGCGAUAAGCUUCGGGUAGGCGCACAUAGCCUGAGAUCCGAAGAUCUCCGAAUGAGGAAACUCACAUGGGAAACCCCAUGUAUCAUUAAGUGAAUACAUAGCUUAAUGAAGGUAACCCAGGGAACUGAAACAUCUAAGUACCUGGAGGAAGAGAAAGAAAAAUCGAUUUUCUUAGUAGCGGCGAGCGAAAGGAAAAGAGCCCAAACCGGAAACUUGUUUCCGGGGUUGAGGACAUAACAUAAAGAGAAGUAAUGGCUAAUUGAAGAGAACUGGAAAGUUCCACCGUAGAAGGUAAUAGUCCUGUAAAUGAAAGCUAGUAUAAUCGAGUUAUGAUCCAGAGUACCACGAGACACGUGAAACCUUGUGGGAAGCUGGGAGGACCACCUCCCAAGGCUAAAUACUACCUGAUGACCGAUAGUGAAGCAGUACCGUGAGGGAAAGGUGAAAAGAACCCCGGAGGGGAGUGAAAUAGAACCUGAAACCGUGUGCCUACAACCGCUCAGAGCCCCUUAUGAGGGUGAUGAGGUGCUUUUUGUAGAACGAGCCAACGAGUUACGGUAUGUAGCAAGGUUAAGUACUUAAGGUACGGAGCCGAAGGGAAACCGAGUCUGAAUAGGGCGACUAGUUGCAUGCCGUAGACCCGAAACCGGGUGACCUAUCCAUGGCCAGGUUGAAGCGAGGGUAAAACCUCGUGGAGGACCGAACCACGUUGCUGUUGAAAAAGCAUGGGAUGAGCUGUGGAUAGCGGAGAAAUUCCAAUCGAACCCGGAGAUAGCUGGUUCUCUCCGAAAUAGCUUUAGGGCUAGCGUCGAGUAUGAGUAGUGGAGGUAGAGCACUGAAUGGGCUAGGGGGCAUAGCGCUUACCGAACCUUAUCAAACUCCGAAUGCCACAUACUUUGAGCUCGGCAGUCAGACUACGAAUGAUAAGAUCCGUGGUCAAAAGGGAAACAGCCCAGAUCGUCAGCUAAGGUCCCAAAGUGUAAGUUAAGUGGGAAAGGAUGUGAGAUUUCUAAGACAACUAGGAUGUUGGCUUAGAAGCGACCAUUCAUUAAAAAAGAGUGCGUAAUAGCUCACUAGUCGAGAGAUCUUGCGCCGAAAAUGUAACGGGGCUAAACUUACCACCGAAGCUACGGGCUUGAACUUAGUUCAAGCGGUAGGAGAGCGUCGUAACCGGGCUGAAGUCGUACCGUAAGGAGCGGUGGACUGGUUACGAGUGAGAAUGUUGGCAUCAGUAGCGAGAUGUGGGUGAGAAUCCCACAGGCCGAAAACCUAAGGUUUCCUCAGGAAGGUUCGUCCGCUGAGGGUUAGUCGGGACCUAAGCCGAGGCCGAAAGGCGUAGGUGAUGGACAACUGGUUGAUAUUCCAGUACCACUACCAUCGUUAUUAUCGAUGGCGUGACGCAGGAGGAUAGUGUGUGCUAGCUAUUGGAUGCUAGUCUAAGCGUUUAGGCAGUGAGAGUAGGCAAAUCCGCUCUCAUAAUGCUGAGACGUGAUGGGGAAGGUUCUACGGAACCGAAGUACAUGAUUCCACGCCGCCAAGAAAAGCGUCUAGAGAGAGAAGUAGUGCCCGUACCGCAAACCGACACAGGUAGGUGAGGAGAGAAUCCUAAGGCCGGCGGAAGAAUUACAGUUAAGGAACUCGGCAAAUUGACCCCGUAAGUUCGCGAGAAGGGGUGCCUACGAGAGUAGGCCGCAGAGAAUAGGCCCAAGCAACUGUUUAGCAAAAACACAGGUCUCUGCUAAAGCGUAAGCUGAUGUAUAGGGGCUGACGCCCGCCCGGUGCUGGAAGGUUAAGGGGAACACUUAGCGCAAGCGAAGGUGUGAACUUAAGCCCCAGUAAACGGCGCCGUAACUAUAACGGUCCUAAGGUAGCGAAAUUCCUUGUCAGGUAAGUUCUGACCCGCACGAAUGGCGUAAUGACUUGGGCACUGUCUCAACUGUAAAUCCGGCGAAGUUGUAGUGCGAGUGAAGAUGCUCGCUACCCGCGAUUGGACGGAAAGACCCCGUAGAGCUUUACUGUAGCUUAGCAUUGAGUUUUGGUAUUGUCUGUACAGGAUAGGUGGGAGACUAGGAAACCAGGGCGUCAGCCUUGGUGGAGUCAACCUUGGGAUACCACCCUGACAGUACUGAAAUUCUAACUGGCGGCCAUGAAUCUGGUCACAGGACAUUGUUAGGUGGGCAGUUUGACUGGGGCGGUCGCCUCCUAAAAAGUAACGGAGGCGCCCAAAGGUUCCCUCAGAACGGUCGGAAAUCGUUCGAAGAGUGCAAAGGCAGAAGGGAGCCUGACUGCGACACCCACAAGUGGAGCAGGGACGAAAGUCGGGCUUAGUGAUCCGGUGGUACCUCGUGGGAGGGCCAUCGCUCAACGGAUAAAAGCUACCUCGGGGAUAACAGGCUGAUCUCCCCAAGAGUCCACAUCGACGGGGAGGUUUGGCACCUCGAUGUCGGCUCGUCGCAUCCUGGGGCUGAAGUAGGUCCCAAGGGUUGGGCUGUUCGCCCAUUAAAGCGGCACGCGAGCCGGGUUCAGAACGUCGUGAGACAGUUCGGUCCCUAUCCGUCGCGGGCGUAGGAAAUUUGAGAGGAGCUGUCCUUAGUACGAGAGGACCGGGAUGGACUGACCUCUGGUGUACCAGUUGUUCCGCCAGGAGCACAGCUGGGUAGCUAAGUCGGGAAUGGAUAAACGCUGAAAGCAUCUAAGCGUGAAGCCAACCUCAAGAUGAGAUUUCCCAUAGCGUAAGCUAGUAAGAUCCCUUGAAGAACACAAGGUUGAUAGGUCGGGGGUGUAAGCAUGGUAACAUGUUCAGCUGACCGAUACUAAUAGAUCGAGGGCUUGACCAAAU
rnacentral:rRNA from 1 species